UGUCAAAUCUGAAUCAAACUAAGAAAUAAGUUAAAACUUUCAACAACGGAUCUCUUGGUUCUGGCAUCGAUGAAGAACGCAGCGAAAUGCGAUAAGUAAUGUGAAUUGCAGAAUUCAGUGAAUCAUCGAAUCUUUGAACGCACAUUGCGCCCAUUAGUAUUCUAGUGGGCAUGCCUGUUCGAGCGUCAUUUCAACCCUUAAGCCUAGCUUAGUGUUGGGAGACUGCCUAAUACGCAGCUCCUCAAAACCAGUGGCGGAGUCUGUUCGUGCUCUGAGCGUAGUAAUUUUUUAUCUCGCUUCUGCAAGCCGGCCAGACGACAGCCAUAAACCGCACCCUCUCGGGGGGCACUUUUUUAAUGGUUGACCUCGGAUCAGGUAGGAAUACCCGCUGAACUUAAGCAUAUCAAUAAGCGGAGGAAAAGAAACCAACAGGGAUUGCCCUAGUAACGGCGAGUGAAGCGGCAACAGCUCAAAUUUGAAAUCUGGCCUUCUGGUCCGAAUUGUAAUUUGUAGAGGAUGCUUUUUGGUUAGGUACCCUUUCGAGUUCCUUGGAACAGGACGCCUUA
rnacentral:rRNA from 1 species